GAUGAACGCUGGCGGCGUGCCUAACACAUGCAAGUCGAACGAAGCAAUUAAGAUGAAGUUUUCGGAUGGAAUCUUGAUUGACUGAGUGGCGGACGGGUGAGUAACGCGUGGAUAACCUGCCUCACACUGGGGGAUAACAGUUAGAAAUGACUGCUAAUACCGCAUAAGCGCACAGUGCCGCAUGGCAGUGUGUGAAAAACUCCGGUGGUGUGAGAUGGAUCCGCGUCUGAUUAGCCAGUUGGCGGGGUAACGGCCCACCAAAGCGACGAUCAGUAGCCGGACUGAGAGGUUGAACGGCCACAUUGGGACUGAGACACGGCCCAG
rnacentral:rRNA from 1 species